UCCCUGGUGGCUCAGACGGUAAAGUGUCUGUCUGCAAUGCGGGAGACCUGGGUUCGAUCCCUGGGUAGGGAA
rnacentral:tRNA from 1 species